CGCACAAUGACUUCCAGCUGGAGCAGCCCAGCCAGCCUGCGCGCUCACUCGCUUGCUUGCGCUGGGCUUCAGGGCGCCCGGGUGAGUUUUUUUCUCUCCCUCUCGUUUUUUUUUUUUUCCCAGGCUCUCGCGGGUUUCCCCUGCCAGGGAAUCCACUCGCUGUAGUUUUCUAGGGCUCUGGUCCCAGUCCUUUCUGAAGCGCGCUUGCAGGCUGUCUUCCUCAGUCGCCCUCUCCCUGGGUGCUGUUUUGCUGGGCAGCAUCCCAUGCUAGGCUCGGCAGACAUUCUGGCGGUUGGGUUCGGCCCUUACAGCGCUAACACCUGCAGAGUCGAGGCUCCUGCCAAAAGGCAGAAAGCAAAGGAGGAAAAAAUUCAUUGUCAUAAUAGCGAAAAUGAUAAACCUCAGCUGUUUAAGAGAAGAAUGUCUGAGUAGCUGUUGAUUAUCUCCCAUAAUCACAAAACAACUUUUUUUUAAAAAGAAUUUGCACUGUCUGUUAAAACGCGGUCAUUGUUUUGCUUUCAAAUCGAACUUCACGACAGUUAGCAACUUCAAGAACGCUUCCAAAUGGAUAAAUCUUUCCAGAAGGUAAAACAAAUCUGGGAAGUUGUAGCAGUGUAAAUUGGAGAGUGUGUGAGGGUCGUAUUUGGAGAGAGAGAGACACACACACAGGAGAUUGGUGGUCUUGGGGCAAGGCAAAUAGCUCAUUCGCCCCCCCACACCUCCAGUUUCCACCCCAGACCUUUAAAUCUUGAAGGUGGAGGAAAGGGAGACGUAGCUGUUGAUUAGAGUUGGGUGGGAGGUAAUUCUUAUUCUAAAUUUUCAUUUUAUUUAUUUUUUGGUGCCAGAUUUCUUGCUUCAAAACAGCUGCAUUUUUGGAAGAAAGUCCACAACUGACAACUAAGCAAAACCCUCCUGGUGGAUAGCAUAAAUCUGCUUUGUUGAAGCUGCUCAUUUGUCUGAUCUAUGAGUCCAGAAGAUGCAAACUCCCUUCCCAGCUUAUGCAAAAAUACUUCCAGUAAAAACAAGCCCUUUGGCCCUUUUCUUUUGUCAGUCCAGAUUUCAGCAUGUUCUUCGCUUUGUUAUUCAUCAUUUUAUGUAUUUGGACCCAUCCUCAAACAGACUUUAAACCGUUUAAAGGCAAGGAGGGACUCUUUCGUAAACCUUUAAUCCCCUGGCCCAGCUGAGUAGAUGCACAGUGUCUUUUGAUGAUGGUGAUAUGGAAUGAUUAAUAACCACACAAGGCAUUCGGUUGGUCAAGUCACUGUUUAUUGGCUCAAAAUAAUCCUUGGUUUCUGUAUGUCUACAGCUCACUUCCUAAACAGUUAAAUCCGGAGAAGUCUAAUAGAUAAUAGUUGGUGAUCAUAAAUAUAAAUAACCAAUACAUUAGAAUGUGUAGUCAAAAUAGGAAUACUUGCUUUUCACUUACUUCCCACGGGUCGCUGCUGGUGGUAGUCAACACAAAUAAAAAUUUGAACUCAUUUUGUUAUUCAUCUAAAAUGAGAAACUCGGUGAAACAUUGAUUUUCUAAAAUUGCUGCAUAUUUAAAUGUGAUUAUAAUUGCUUUUUAGCAUUUUAAAAUUGUAACAUCGAUACCAAAUGCUUAAGAAUCUAAAGAAUAGUCUAUUGGGGCUGGCCUAUUUUGUGUAAAAUGGUCUGUAUCAUAAUGGAUGACUGAUUAUCCCAUCCACAUUAUUUGGAUUCACUUAAUACUAGGUUUUAACGUUAGGAGAAUAAAACCCUCAAGAAACCUAACAUAGAUUUGUAUAUUUAGUUUUCUCCUUCCUUAUCAUCUUCCACCAGACUUACAGGUGUUCCACCUGCUUGUAGUUUCGGUAAUAAUACCAGCUGGCGGUGGUUCCUAACUCUAGCUACACUUUAAAAUUACCUCGUGCAUUUAAAAAAAAAAUGCAGUUGUUUAGGUUCUUCCCCUAGAUAUUUUAAUUUACAAGGUUUGGGAUGUGGCCUGGGCACCGAUUUUUUUAACUUUUUAUUUGAAUGUAGACUUACAGGAAGUUGCAAAGAUAGUACAGAGAGGUCUGAUAGAGCCUCCACUGUUGGUUACAUCCCGCAUAGCUAGAGCACAAUAAUAAAGCCAGGACAUUGACACUGAGAUAAAAUGUGCCUGUGAUUCUGUGUCACCUUAUCCCUGAAGACUCUUGUAAUCAUUACCACAAUCAAAAUACAAACUAUUUCAACACCACGAAGAUCUCUCUCAUACAGUCCCUUUAUGGUCGUCCCUUUCUUUCCCCCACACCAUCCCUAACCCUUUGCAACCAUCAGUCUGUUCUCCAUUUCUAUAAUUUUGUCGUUUGGGGAAUGUUUUAUAAAUUGGUCCUCACAGCUUGUGACCUUCUAAGAUUAGCUCACCAUCCCCCCCACCCCCCCACCCCACCCAACUCAGCAGAAUGCCCUAGAGAUUUAUCCAAGUUAUUGCAGGUAUUUCUAGUUUGUUCCUUUCUGUUACUGAGUUCUACACUAUGGGUGUAACACAGUUUGUUUAAUCAUUCAGCAUUCACCUAUCAUACAUUUUGGUUCCUUCUUUUUUUGGGCGGGGGGAGUGCCUAUUACAAAUAAAACUGUCUUGAAAAAUUGCUUGCAGGUUUUUCUGUGGACCUAAAUUUUCAUUUCUCUGGGAUAAAUGUCCAGGAGUGUGAUUGCUGGGUCAUAUGGUAAGUAUGUGUUUAAUUUUUAAAGAAACUGCUGAACUAUUUUCCAGAAAUGUGGUACUAUUUUACAUUCCCAGCAGCCAUAUAUGAGAGAUCCAGUUUUUCCACAUCCUUACCAGUAUUUUGUAUUGUCACUAUUUUUUUACUUUUACUGUUCCGAUUAGGUGUGCAGUGAUACCUCACUCUGGUCUUAAUUUGCAUUUUCCUAAUGACUAGGGAUGUUGAUCAUUUUCUCAUGUCUUUGCCAUACACAUAUCCUCUUCAGUGAAAUCCCUCUUCGUGUCAUUUUCUUAUUUUCUUGAUUUGUUCUGUUACUGUUGAGUUUUGAAGGUUCUUUAAAUUAUAGACAUGAGUCCUUUAUCAGUUACAUCAGCAGUCCUCAACCUUUUUGGCUUCAGGGACAAGUUUCGUGGAAGACAGUUUUUUCCACGGAAGUGGGGGUGGUGGGGGAAAUGGUUUCCAGAUGGAACUGUUCCACUUAAGAUCAUCAGACAUUAGAUUCUCAUAAGGAGCAUGCAAACUAGAUCCCUCGCAUUCGCAGUUCACAAUAGGGUUCGCUCUCCUGUGAGAAUCUGAUGCCCUGGCUGAUCUGACAGGAGACAGAGCUCAGGUGGUGAGGCUGGCUCAGGAGGUGCUUAACUCCUGCUGUGUUGCCAGCUUCCUAACAGGCCAUUGACCUGUACCAGUCUGAGGCCCAGGACUUGGGGACCCCUGAGAGAUGUGGUUUGCAAAUAGUUUUUCCCAGUGUUUUUGCUGUCUUUUGGAUCUUUUGGGCCACAUCCGGUGGCUCACGCCUGUAAUCCCAGCACUUUGGGAGACUUAGGCGGGUGAAUCACCUGAGUCGGGAGUUCGAGACCAGGCUGACCAGCAUGGAGAAACUCCGUCUCUACUAAAAAUACAAAAA
rnacentral:lncRNA from 1 species